rnacentral:rRNA from 1 species
CUACGGGAUGCUGCAGGCGAGAAAACUUUGCAAUGUGCGAAAGCACGACAAGGUUAAUCCGAGUGGUUUGUGCUAAACGAACCUUUUGACAGUCCUAGAAACACUGUUGAAUAAGGGGUGGGCAAGUUCUGGUGUCAGCCGCCGCGGUAAAACCAGCACCUCAAGUGGUAAGGAUGAUUAUUGGGCCUAAAGCAUCCGUAGCCGGCUCUGUAAGUUUUCGGUUAAAUCUGUACGCUCAACGUACAGGCUGCCGGGAAUACUGCAGAGCUAGGGAGUGGGAGAGGUAGACGGUACUCGGUAGGAAGGGGUAAAAUCCUUUGAUCUAUCGAUGACCACCUGUGGCGAAGGCGGUCUACUAGAACACGUCCGACGGUGAGGGAUGAAAGCUGGGGGAGCAAACCGGAUUAGAUACCCUGGUAGUC